rnacentral:lncRNA from 1 species
AGAUCGCUCAAAUCUUCCUCCCCUAGCCAAAUUCGAAUUGGGCCUGUUGCUAUUCCUUACCGCCAUGGCUGCGCUUGAAUCCAGUUCUGAUGUGGUGUGUGAAACGCUGAGAAGUUGUUUUUCUUCUUGAGAUAUAGCAGCAUAUGCUUGGCGAACAGUAGGGAGAGGAUUCAUCAAUAGGAUCUGUCUGCGAAUUGCACUGUAAGUCUCAUUUAAUCCCAUUAAGAAUUGCAUCAAUCGCUGUUGAUCUGCUUGUGCUCCAUGUGCUGUGUCUGAAUAUGUGGCCAAUUCAUCCCAGAAACUCUUCAAUUUUGUGUAGUAGGUAGAGACAGGGAGUUGUUCUUGACGAUGAGAAGCAAUUUCUCGUUGUAUUUCGAAAAUGCGAGUCGCAUUCGCUUGAGAAAAAACGCUCAUGGAGAUCCUCCCAAACUUCAUGAGCAUUAGGAUAGUAGGUCACACUGUCAGCUAUUUCUGGAUCACAAGAGUUGACGAUCCAGGAAUGAACCAUAUCAUUGCAACGCGACCAAAUCGCAUAGCCUUCAGGGUCAGUUUCUUCUGAGGGAGCCUUGAUGGAACCGUUGACGAAUCCGAGCUUGUUAUUGGAAUUUAAGGCUCUAACCAUAGACCUUUUCCAACCAGAAAAAUUAUCCCCAUUUAGGAGUUUGGAGACUAGGACUAAGCCAGGAUGAUCCGAGUGGUGGAUGAAGUAAGGAUUAGAAGGUUCUGCCUUGAAGGGAUCUGCAUCUGAACCGGAACUGUUUGGUUUUGGUGGAGGAGGAUUAUCACCGCCUGAUUUCGGUGGAGGAGGAUUAUCACCGCUUGAUUUCGGUGGAGGGAUAUCAUCAUCGGACAUGGUGAUUAAAAGAGAGAUGGGUAGGAGAAUGAACCAGGAACUCACUCCCGCUCUGAUACCAUAUAAGAAUGAAUAAUUGAUAGAAUGGAAUAGAUAGUUUGUUAUUGAUUCUGAAUCGUAUACAUAUACAGAGACUUCUAGUUAUUCCUACAAGUCAGGAAUCAACUACAAUUAAGGAUAUCUAUUUACAAAAGGAAAACUGAUGUACAGCUAAUAUAUGCAGAUCUUCUAUUCUAAAUAGGAAAGAUAUGGAAGAUUGAUUCUCUAACAUUUCAGAUAAUUGCUGACCCAAUUUUGAUUCAUGACAAAUUGACAAUGGUUACAAGAUACAACCGAGUUUGAUUUACUAAAACCUCUUACCAUACAUUUGAUUUCUGGCUUUUAUCACCUUCUAGUUAAGAGUAUCUCAUUUGUUUACCGAGAUUGGUAAGGAGAGUCAAGUACUAUGUCUAGGCACUAGUUCAGUCGUUUGUUGAACAAUCAGACUGGACUACAGCUCCACCUGCCAUAUCAUCUUCGUUUGUUCGAUUUGAUUCGAAUUGAACUCUGUAUUUAAGUCCAAUGAGGUAAAUUUUCUGUUUCCGUUGCAGCCGAUAAAGUCGCAUUAGUUUGAUCUACUGGAAGUUGGAUUGCUGGCUUUAGGGAAAUGAGGAUGGCGGAGCAUGACCAAUUGACAAGUGCGUGGUUUUGUGUCAAAAUGGGGAAAGGAAAGAAAGAUUUUGCUCUUCCUCAUGUUCCAGUCAUAUGUUAACAGAGAAUGACAGGGUAACCAUCAACAUCAAGUGGUAAAGAUUGGUGACAACUUGAGAAGGGAAGAGAUGAAAAUUACAUAACUUGUACGAAUAAUCUGGGAAAUAGGCAACUGUGUCUAUGAAUUUUACUAUCUAUUAUUCUACUUCCCUCCACAUAACUAACAUAUGUCUGGUUUGAUGAAGGAAAUCAUAGAUGAUAACAAGUUGACGGUGGAACAAAGACUGCAAGAUUAGAGUACAAUAUGUCUGGGAGCAUGGAUUUGCACUUAGAUACAGUCAUUUGGAGCAGCAUGUGCCAUGUUUCCGUUGGACCCCAAACAAUC